GGACAAGCCCACUUAAAGCCAUAACUGCACAAUUUGGGAUAUGGGAUCAGUCGGAUCAUUUCACUGGACAGCACAAACUCUGCUGAAAAUGUGCCCUGAAACUACUUUGAGAACUGCAUUUGCUGGCUGAUGUGGGAAGGAAGGCAGGGAAAGGACCAACUCUGCCAAAGAACCUCAGGCUACUCCAGUGCACACUGGGUUUAGUCUGACCUCAUGGAGAUGGAGUUUCUACAACCCCCAGAAAAAAAUCAAUCUCUGUUUGCCAGCUGAAGGGCAAAUUUCCAGAAAGGAAGACAAACUCAUUUCCAGGACCUGUAAGGGGGAGAAGGGACCAGUGCUUGGCCCUUCUCUUCCCCUCACAUUCCAGGUCUCUCUGCUGUCAAAGAGAGCCAAGGAGCAGUAUUUGAAGCAUUGCUGGUGGUGCUACCAAGUGGAAAAGGAGCAGCUUUUAAUUCCCUGACCUGAAGACGACUCUUGGAGGGAUGAAGAGAGCAGCAACUCCCCUGCUGUGCUCAGCCC